rnacentral:rRNA from 1 species
GCUCGAAAGAGAGCCGUAACACAGGUGCUGCAUGGCUGUCGUCAGCUCGUGUCGUGAGAUGUUGGGUUAAGUCCCGCAACGAGCGCAACCCUUGUCAUUAGUUGCUACGUUCAGUUGGGCACUCUAAUGAGACUGCCGGUGACAAGCCGGAGGAAGGUGGGGAUGACGUCAAGUCCUCAUGGCCCUUAUAGGUGGGGCUACACACGUCAUACAAUGGCUGGUACAAAGGGUUGCCAACCCGCGAGGGGGAGCCAAUCCCAUAAAGCCAGUCGUAGUCCGGAUCGUAGUCUGCAACUCGACUACGUGAAGUCGGAAUCGCUAGUAAUCGUGGAUCAGAAUGUCACGGUGAAUACGUUCCCGGGUCUU